UACCGGAAGCUAAGGAGAACAGCCCGCAGCCUACGCCGCGGGGCCCUGGUGACCGGUUUGGUUAGUCUCGGGCUCUCGAGUCUGCCAGGAGUCUAACAACGCAGUUCUCCUCUUCGGCGGUCUUAGGUUUCCUCUUCAAUGGCACAGAUUUUUGCCCAUCUGUCCUUCUUUUUCUCCCUACCUUUAGUUCCUGUGAUUCAGGUGCCUACAGCAGGGAGACCUGCCACGGCGCGCAGGCUUCUCUAUGGAUACUCAUGCCUAAGUCACUAGAUCUUCCAUUUGGCUCUACCCUGCAAAGGUCAUUUCAAGAUUUUCUCUACUUCCAAGCACAAAACAUUUAAUUCCUUCUAGGAGUCCUUUGUGACCCCUGGAGAAGAAAAGCUACUUGGAAAGGUGAACCCUGAGAAACUGUAGGAAGACAUGUAAAACCACUAAAAUAUGAUUUGCCUAUGUGAAAGAUAACUGCUAAAAUAAUCAACUUACCCUACCUACAGAAAAGAAUUGGGAGAAUAUCUAAAUCUCUUCUAUAUAUGAGGUGAAGGGCCAUGCCUGGCAGACUACAUGGGGAAUCAGAGGAUCAAGAGGAGUGAAGAGAGGAUCCCUGGAGGAAUGCCCGUCCUCCCUCCACUGACAGCAGCCACAGUUACUAACAGGGUCUUUCUGAUGAGGAG
rnacentral:lncRNA from 1 species